UGUAGCUAAGUGGUAGAGUGCUUGCCUAGCAUGCAGAAGGCCCUGGGUUCAAUCCUCAGCA
rnacentral:tRNA from 1 species